AUUGAACGCUGGCGGUAUGCUUAACACAUGCAAGUCGAACGGAAACGAUACUAGCUUGCUAGUAGGCGUCGAGUGGCGGACGGGUGAGUAACGCGUAGGAAUCUGCCUGAUAGUGGGGGAUAGCCCGGAGAAAUUCGGAUUAAUACCGCAUAAUCUAUUCGUAGUAAAGUGGGGGACUUUCGAGCCUCACGCUAUCAGAUGAGCCUGCGUAAGAUUAGCUUGUUGGUAGGGUAAAAGCCUACCAAGGCGACGAUCUUUAGCUGGUCUGAGAGGAUGAUCAGCCACAUCGGGACUGAGACACGGCCCGAACUCCUACGGGAGGCAGCAGUGGGGAAUAUUGGACAAUGGGGGCAACCCUGAUCCAGCAAUACCGCGUGUGUGAAGAAGGCCUGAGGGUUGUAAAGCACUUUCAAUUGUGAAGAAAAGUUAACGGUUAAUAACCGUUAGCCUUGACGUUAACUUUAGAAGAAGCACCGGCUAACUCCGUGCCAGCAGCCGCGGUAAUACGGAGGGUGCAAGCGUUAAUCGGAAUUACUGGGCGUAAAGCGUGCGUAGGUGGUUUAUUAAGUCAGAUGUGAAAGCCCCGGGCUUAACCUGGGAACUGCAUUUGAAACUGGUAAACUAGAGUAUGGUAGAGGAAAGUGGAAUUUCUGGUGUAGCGGUGAAAUGCGUAGAUAUCAGAAGGAACAUCAAUGGCGAAGGCAGCUUUCUGGACCAAUACUGACACUGAGGUACGAAAGCGUGGGUAGCAAACAGGAUUAGAUACCCUGGUAGUCCACGCCGUAAACGAUGAUAACUAGCCGUUGGGGGGAUUUACCCUUUAGUGGCGAAGCUAACG
rnacentral:rRNA from 1 species